CUGCAGCCCGAGUGGUGACCGUUAUUAUUGAGCCUAAAGCGUCCGUAGCCGGUCUGGUAAAUUCUUGGGUAAAUCGGGCAGCUUAACUGUCCGACUUCCGAGGAGACUGCCAGACUUGGGACCGGGAGAGGUCAGAGGUACUCCAGGGGUAGGGGCUAAAUCCUGUAAUCCUUGGGGGACCACCAGUGGCGAAGGCGUCUGACUAGAACGGAUCCGACGGUAAGGGACGAAACCCUGGGGCGCAAACCGGAUUAGAUACCCGAGUAGUCC
rnacentral:rRNA from 1 species